rnacentral:lncRNA from 1 species
CAGGCUCUUCUAGGCAAUUACAGUUGAUCUGAUUUCAAAAUCCAGCUUCUCAACAAGAGAAAUAAAUGAUCAAGGAAGUCAACUCCAUUCUCCAUUCCAGAGUUCACAUAUGUAUACACCAGUCCCAACGUACAUCUUCAAUGCAAACGACUCAGGAUAAAGAUCCAGUGCUUUCAGAAAGCCAUGGCUGUGCACGGUGAAGCUGCCAAGAGUGGAGCUUUGGGCAUGGAAUAUUCCUCUACCAGAGUUGAUGCCAACUUUGUUUCAAAGUUCCAAGCUCUUCACAAAGUUAUCCAAAUCUCUCAGCUUGCGAAAUGACUCUUCUUGUCUUCACCACCUUUCCAC